UUUUUUUUUUUUUUUUUUUGAGGUGUAAAGGUUUGGGCAGAGCUGCUGUAACCUCGGAGUAUUAGAGGACAACUGAUCUGGCAACGCGGAUUAGGUAACAGGAGAGAGUGCGCUGUCAGCGGAUAUGACUGUACACCAGAUAAUGUGCGGGUCUUUUUUUGUUUUUGUUGUUUGGCGCUAAUCAUCGGUAUUUGCUCUGACAAUGGUAACAUGUGAAGCUCCGAGAUUUCACCAGGUGGCCCGUCGAUGGAGAGCUUACUAUUGGACUAUUUGCGAUUUGCGCUUCAUUUGCAAUUGCAAUCUUGUACAUUAGAUCGUUAAAGCCCAAUUCUAAAGUUCGGGGCCGUAGUUCUCUUACCCCUUUGGACUUCAUGCCUCGUCAACAAUGAUGGGGAGCGUUACCCAAGCUGGAGAAUUUUUUUGUAUCCGCAUGCCUGUUGCUACCCUCCUCAAGUAAUUGUUUGUUUGA
rnacentral:misc_RNA from 1 species